rnacentral:piRNA from 1 species
UGCUAGGAAGCUAAACAGGGU